rnacentral:rRNA from 1 species
UACGUAGGGAGCAAGCGUUGUCCGGAAUCAUUGGGCGUAAAGCGCGCGUAGGUGGCCUCAUAAGUCCGCUGUGAAAGUCCAAGGCUCAACCGUGGAAGUGCAUCCGAAACUGCAUGGCUGGAGUCUCGGAGAGGAAGGUGGAAUGCUUGGUGUAGAGGUGAAAUUCGUAGAUAUCAAGCAGAACACCUGCGGCGAAGGCGGCCUUCUGGACGAUGACUGACGCUGAGACGCGAAAGCGUGGGGAGCAAACAGG